rnacentral:lncRNA from 1 species
CCCCACUUAGAUUUCCGAGAAAACCACCAAAUUGUGAGCAAGAGCUGUGUGUCAGCUGGGGCUGGACAAAAUGAGAAAGAGAACCUUACAGACAGAGGCAAGAUUGUUGAGAUGGAGAAUGUCACUUCCUGGGAAGGCAUGAAGACCUGAAUAAAAACCAGGGAUUCAAGGAUGGCAACUCAGCAGCUCUGAGGGUGAGCUGGUACCAGGGAACAAGAGAACACUGUUUUCCCCUGUUGCUGUCAGGUCCCUGCCAGCUCUCCUCAGCCUGGGAACUUGUCAGUCUCAACUCUGUGCAUAAGGCAACAAAUGAUUGCUUUGUAGCUUAAAGGUGUGUGUGUCCUGCUUGCACCACCUCUUUCUACACACUCAGUUGCCAAGGCAAAUGACAGAGAAGAACGAGGCCACCUCCACUGUGCCACAGCUGCCAGCAUGGCCAGGGUGCCUCACAAGAUCUCUCCCUGAAUGAUGGAUCAUACUCUGCAUACAAGCAAGAGGAAAUCCUGUUGGUGCUUUGACACAUGCAGACAGACUGCCACUAGAUGGAAAAAGCAAAAUCUGUUCACUUGCUGCAAAUGCUGGGGAGGGGGUGGGAACCAAACCACGGAAUUAAUACAAACCACUAAAUAAACAUCUGAUCAUCAUUCACACCUAUUUCUAUCUGAGUAUCAAGCUUUAUGGCCUACCAGUUUAUCAGGGCCACUGCCAAAAAGAUUCCUCAUAGCUGGCAGCAGACAGGAAUCUUCCUGAAGCUCAGCAGACACAAGGUUACAACGAGAGCUGCUGCUUUCAAGUGUGAUACAACUUUUCAAAGAGGACCACACUUAUUUCCUGCUUUGCUGAGCCCCAGUUCUCUGAGCUGCUUUCCUGCUGAGUCCCUUGCCAGCUGGGCUGGUCCCCCCCAGCCACCACUGUCUUCCAGAGCCAUGUCCCACUCCUGCAGAGGGCUGCCAUGUCCUGCCAGCUCCCUGAGGUGACCCCUCCCUCCUCUUGGUCUUCACUCCUCCUUCUUAUCAUACAUCCAUUGGGUUCCAUUAGCACAGGAUCAAGGUAAGCACAAAAAAAAUACAAGCUCUGUGCUGGGCCCAGAGCAGCUUUGGUGGGCAAACUGACUCUGUUUGCAUGCAUGGGCAAAACAGGCUUAAUUACUCUUUAGAGUUCAUGUACACACAGCUUAGUCAGAAAGAAGACAAAUUAAUCAUUUUCUCACUAAAAUACAGGCUAGAAAACAUGAGACCAAAAAC